CGUGCAACACCUGUAAUCUGUGAUGCUAAGUAAUAUGGCCUCUAGUCCUGGGUUCUGUGUAACUUGUCUGCAUGGGUAGAUGUGUUUCUAACUCUGGCACCGAGAUCAGUAAGAGAACAGUGAGAUGGGGAACUAACCGCUCAGGCCAUCCAGAUAUGAAUUGAUACUUAUACCUGUCAGGACUUAUUGGUUUCUUUACUCAUCUCAGUUAGCUACAUAAGUGGUAAUAAGAGUGGUCCAGGCCUUGUUUCAUUUGGAAAGCAAUGGCUUGUUAUCUACCUAAGUUUUCCCCAUCUGCUGAGUGUGAUACGUAUUCAGGGACAAAGUUCUGUUGAAUAAGCAAGCCAUGUUUCAAGGCAGCUGUCCAACUAAACAGUCCAUCUAUGGAGAAUCUGAUCUCUUGGUAAUGAAACAUUGUUAGUACGACAUAUUCUAAUUCUUUCUCCACAAAGCCAGGUAGGUUCCCAUGAGAGGAAAUAGUGUUGUUGGCAUUGGAUGUCAUUUCUAGUAGUGGCUACAGGAAUUGAGAGGUAAGAUGUACUCAUGUAAAGGGAUCUGGCCUGGUAGGGACAUAGAAUGAAGUGGAGUAGGGAUAAGCAUAAUCAAGGGGCCAGUUCCAGGCCUGUCAAAGACACAUAAACAGUGGACAACUAUCAUGAUACUACACAGUGGUCCUCACAAGCAAGGUUAGGGAGAAACUGCAGUGUGUGUGUGUGUGUGUGUGUGUGUGUGUGUGUGUGUGAAUGAUGAUGUGUGCUCUCUUUUAAAAGGGAGUCCAGACCCCAGAGUUCACCGGUGAAGGAUUUAAGUCCUACUUAGUGUUGUCAAGCUUUUAUAUUCCUCCUUAUGUUCAGAUGUCAAACUUUUUAGCUACCUUAGAAAUCAAGCAUAAUGCCAAUUUCACAGAAUUCUCAUUCAUUCAUUUAUCAGGAGUUAUGAUCAAGUGCUUCCCAUGUAAAAAGGCUGCAACCUACAACCUGCACAACUGUCUGUGGCAGUCCUGCUUUGGACACAAAGAUAUGAACAAGACAAUUGCAGAACUGGAUCUUACUCCAUUAUCUCAUGUCUUCACCUGUGAAAUAAGAAUAUUGGAAAACUUGGGAUAGAGGAUAGAAGAGCACUGGAUUUGAGAUUCCUGGAUCUAGUCCUCCCAACCUUACUAACCAGACUGGGGAGGAGGGACUUCAGAAAGCUGCAUUUCUAAUUUCUGACCUGGAAGAUUCCCAAAUUCUCCCUUCUUUCAAGACUCAAAGAUCAGAGGACGCCAGUCCUCACCCGUCGCUUACCCUAAUAUACAGUGUCCUGUCCAGACCCCGGGCCACACACAUACUUACACAAAUCAUGGAAGGCCCAGGGCCCAGCACUUUCUCAGGUAAAAGUAGGCGGUGGUGUGUAAGUCCUGAGGUGGAAUGGGGCAGCCUGAUGGGAACGAGGGGAAGGCUGAGGCUGCGGGUCCUGUGGGAGCCGCUGGUCCUCCCCUGCAGUCACCUGUGGCUGGGUGGACAGGCCACCCAGAGAUGCCAAAUAUUGCAUUUUAAGGACAUUGGGAAACUAGAUUUUUAUAUGAAGUUUUCUGAUUUUUAACUGCUGGCUACAUAUUUUAAGGUGCCAAACAAAAACAUGUGGAGGCCCAUCCACACUUGCAGCCUCUAGACCAGAGCCCCGCUGUGGUUGCCUUUCACAUGGGGUUCUGGGAUAUGUGGGCCCUCAACUUGCCCGGCUUAGAGAGCUGUUCCGUUGCUGAGUGCAGUGUCUCUGCUGUCCCCCACCCUCUUCCUGCAAAAAGCCAACAUUUCUUUCUUUUUUUUUUUAUUGAAAGGGAUACAUGUACCCCAAUGUUUUUUUUUUUU
rnacentral:lncRNA from 12 species